rnacentral:tRNA from 1 species
GGUAGGAUGGCUGAGCUUAGGCGAUAAACUGUAAAUUUAUUUACGAGAGGUAUCUCUCCUACCA